rnacentral:rRNA from 1 species
GACGAACGCUGGCGGCGUGCUUAAUACAUGCAAGUCAACUUGACUUUAGAUAGCAAUAUCGAAAAGUAGGGUGGCGCACGGGUGCGUAACGCGUAGGUAAUCUGCCCUGAGGUCUGACAUAACCCGUCGAAAGGCGGGCUAGCAUCAGAUGAUAUAUAAUCACGACAUCGUGGAAAUAUCAAAUCUUCGGAGCCUUGGGAUGAGCCUGCGUCUGAUUAGGUAGUUGGCGGAGUAAUAGCCCACCAAGCCUACGAUCAGUAGCUGGUCUGAGAGGAUGAUCAGCCACACUGGAACUGAGACACGGUCCAGACUCCUACGGGAGGCAGCAGUAAGGAAUAUUGCUCAAUGGGGAAACCCUGAAGCAGCAACGCCGCGUGAAGGAUGAAAUACUUUGUAUGUAAACUUCUGUAAGAUGGGAAAAAUAUUCUCCUCGGGAGAAUUGAUUGUACCAUCAGAGUAAGCCCCGGCU